GAGCUCCUGACUGCAAUCUCAAAUAUCAACCCAAGGCCACGCUCGCAGAGAUCCUGUUCUGCUGAGCAACACAGAGUCCUGCUGGGAGAGCUCAGCUGAGAGGCUGCAGGCACCUUGGUCAGCGCUCCAAGCCUCAGCGCAGCCUGGAGCUGGCUUUGCAUUUGGCCUCCUCGAUGGUAAUGGAAAAGCAAGAAGGCUCUCCUUGGCUUUAAGCCAAAAGCGGCGUUAACUCUUCAUAAAGAUCCCAAAUAUUUUGGACUCAAAGAGAUGGAGUUUCUGUUCUCAGCGAGGGUUUGACCCGGAGCAUUGAGCAACCUGGGGAAGAAGUGCUGAUGUCGGCGGGCCCUGCAUCACGCCGAUGCUAUUCUGGCUUCCUCCCCUCCAUGGCGUCCCUUCAUUGGAUGUCACAGCACGAGGACAGCCUCUUCAAAGGCAGAGGGGAGAACAGGGAAGCUACAACUGUGCUUUUCAAAGCAGUUCAGCACAAUCUUUGCCCUCCUUGAAGGAUGAACUUCUAGAAAAAAACUUGAGCUGUACUGCAGCACCCGUAGAGCACCCACUGCUGAAAUAAAGCCUCGCUGUGACCCCUCACAGUGCUCCUUGAGAAACAAAGGCCUAAAUCUAAU